GUGGAUUUGAUACCCUGGUAGUCCACGCCGUAAACGAUGAGAACUAGCCGUUGGACCCCAUGAGGGUUUAGUGGCGUAGCUAACGCGAUAAGUUCUCCGCCUGGGGAGUACGGCCGCAAGGCUAAAACUCAAAUGAAUUGACGGGGGCCCGCACAAGCGGUGGAGCAUGUUGUUUAAUUCGAUGCAACGCGAAGAACCUUACCACCCCUUGACAUCCUCGGAACUGGGCAGAGAUGCCUUGGUGCCUUCGGGAACCGAGUGACAGGUGCUGCACGGUUGUCGCCAGCU
rnacentral:rRNA from 1 species